rfam:Ictidomys tridecemlineatus contig030513, whole genome shotgun sequence.
GGAGAUGUGGCUCAGUGGUAGAGCACUUGCUUAGCAUGUGCAAGGGCCUGGGUUCAAUUCCCAGCAUAUUGG